rnacentral:rRNA from 1 species
AGAGUUUGAUCCUGGCUCAGGACGAACGCUGGCGGCGUGCCUAACACAUGCAAGUCGAACGGAACUGUUUUGAAAGAUUUCUUCGGAAUGAAUUUGAUUUAGUUUAGUGGCGGACGGGUGAGUAACGCGUGAGUAACCUGCCUUCAAGAGGGGGAUAACAUUCUGAAAAGAAUGCUAAUACCGCAUGACAUAUUGGAAUCACAUGAUUUUGAUAUCAAAGAUUUUAUCGCUUGAAGAUGGACUCGCGUCCGAUUAGUUAGUUGGUGAGGUAACGGCUCACCAAGACCGCGAUCGGUAGCCGGACUGAGAGGUUGAACGGCCACAUUGGGACUGAGACACGGCCCAGACUCCUACGGGAGGCAGCAGUGGGGGAUAUUGCGCAAUGGGGGCAACCCUGACGCAGCAACGCCGCGUGAAGGAUGAAGGUUUUCGGAUUGUAAACUUCUUUUAUUAAGGACGAAACUUGACGGUACUUAAUGAAUAAGCUCCGGCUAACUACGUGCCAGCAGCCGCGGUAAUACGUAGGGAGCAAGCGUUGUCCGGAUUUACUGGGUGUAAAGGGUGCGUAGGCGGCUUUGCAAGUCAGAUGUGAAAUCUAUGGGCUCAACCCAUAAACUGCAUUUGAAACUGUAGAGCUUGAGUGAAGUAGAGGCAGGCGGAAUUCCCCGUGUAGCGGUGAAAUGCGUAGAGAUGGGGAGGAACACCAGUGGCGAAGGCGGCCUGCUGGGCUUUAACUGACGCUGAGGCACGAAAGCGUGGGUAGCAAACAGGAUUAGAUACCCUGGUAGUCCACGCUGUAAACGAUGAUUACUAGGUG